CAGUAGCCGCGGUAAUACGUAGGGUGCAAGCGUUAUUCGGAUUGAUUGGGUGUAAAGGGUGUGCAGACGGCUUAUUAAGUCAUUUGUUAAAUUCUUCGGCCUAACUGAAGGUCUGCAAGUGAUACUGAUGAGCUAGAGGGUGGAAGAGAGAAGUGGAAUUCUCGGAGUAGCGGUAAAAUGCGUAGAUCUCGAGAGGAACACCAAUGGCGAAGGCAGCUUCUUGGUCCAUUCCUGACGUUCAUACACGAAAGCGUGGGGAGCAAACAGGAUUAGAUACCCGGGUAGUCCCUGUCUCUUAUAC
rnacentral:rRNA from 1 species